UUGUCGCUUGCGCGGUAUGCGUUAGCCUGCACGUCGGACGGCAGCGGGACUUCGGUCUGGUGGCGAGUGGCGAACGGGUGAGUAAUGUAUCGGAACGUGCCCAGUAGCGGGGGAUAACUACGCGAAAGCGUGGCUAAUACCGCAUACGCCCUACGGGGGAAAGCGGGGGACCUUCGGGCCUCGCACUAUUGGAGCGGCCGAUAUCGGAUUAGCUUGUUGGUGAGGUAAUGGCUCACCAAGGCGACGAUCCGUAGCUGGUUUGAGAGGACGACCAGCCACACUGGGACUGAGACACGGCCCAGACUCCUACGGGAGGCAGCAGUGGGGAAUUUUGGACAAUGGGGGCAACCCUGAUCCAGCCAUCCCGCGUGUGCGAUGAAGGCCUUCGGGUUGUAAAGCACUUUUGGCAGAGAAGAAAAGGUUCUGGCGAAUAACCGGAACUGCUGACGGUACCUGCAGAAUAAGCACCGGCUAACUACGUGCCAGCAGCCGCGGUAAUACGUAGGGUGCAAGCGUUAAUCGGAAUUACUGGGCGUAAAGCGUGCGCAGGCGGCUCGGAAAGAAAGGUGUGAAAUCCCAGGGCUUACCUUGGAACUGCACUUUUAACUCCCGAGCUA
rnacentral:rRNA from 1 species